CGUCGAAGGUGGGGCUGAUGACUGGGGUGAAGUCGUAACAAGGUAUCCGUACCGGAAGGUGCGGAUGGAUCACCUCCUAACAGGGAGACAAACAACGAUUUUGAUGCCUGAGUACUUUUAUUCUUAGGCCUAAAUCCUGUCACCUUAGGUCGAUCGGUACCUCAGCGUUGAAGCAACAGAGUUAACAGAGAUGUUGAUGAGUGUUGUGGAGAUGAUCAGUUCCUAAACUUUGUCUAGGUCACACCCCACAAGGGUUGAGUUUUCCUGGGCCAUUAGCUCAGGUGGUUAGAGCGCACCCCUGAUAAGGGUGAGGUCCCUGGUUCAAGUCCAGGAUGGCCCAUUCGGUGUUGGGGGUUUAGCUCAGUUGGUAGAGCGCCUGCUUUGCAAGCAGGAUGUCAGGAGUUCGAGUCUCCUAACCUCCACUGACCGAACUCAAUCUCCGGUUUUGCAUUGAAAGAUGGAGAGCCACUCGAUUGUGAAGUGUGAUUUAGAUGAGUCCGCUGGAUGACCCCAGCUUCCUGUCAUUCCAAAUCAGGGUAAAGUAAUUUACUUGAAUGAAUUUGGUUGAUAAGAUGCUGGGCUCGAACUCAAAUGAUCAAGCAUUUGGUGAUUUGAGUUUGAAGUCUGGCAGAACCUUGACAACUGCAUAGGUGAGUCUGGAAAAAACAAAGCAUCUUACAGAUGCAUUGUUUUGAAUCUGAUCUUCUGAAAGGAGGGUUGGAUCUAGAACAAUGAAAAUUCUUUUGAGCAAGAGCCGAGACUCUUGAACGUUCUUUGAUUCGUGUCGAGCGAAUCAGAGUUUGAUUUUGUUUUAGGAAUUAGCGAAAGUUGAUGAUUAAAACUUGAGAAUCUGCUUUCAACGGCGGUAAGCGUUUAAGAGAUUAAUUGGUCAAGCUACAAAGGGCUCA
rnacentral:misc_RNA from 1 species